GUUUGGACAACUGUGACAUGCGGUGGCUCUUCCUAUCACUCGGACCAGGGAGGCGAAGAGACUGGCUACUGGGUUUGGAAGGCAACUAUUAAGAGAGGAAAGAAGAGGCAAAGGAACACACAUCAGUGCUGUUGAGCCAACAGGCUUCUGACUUACCUGAGGUGGAGAGUUCAGCUUCCUAUCCAUGGUGGUGAGACAUGACUUCCGACCCAAACUCUUCCGCUUCAGGUCAACAUCCUCAUAUGGGUUCUCCUUCUCUGUCGGGAUGAACAGGACACUGUCAGCUCUCAACAUGCUAACACAAGCUUCAGCUCACUACUCACAGUACAGAGUUGGAUGGGGCCCUUGUCCAGGAUACAGGAUCGUACUUGCAAUAGCUUUGAAAGUCUUAUCAUGACAGACAAUCAUCAGCCGUUCUUUCCCACGAGUGAAGAAACUACUACAAACUGAUCGUCGAUGAGAAAUAUGUGGUUGAAAAUGAACGGACUGAUAUUGAGUGCAGCACUUGUUUCUC